GAUGAACGCUAGCGGGAGGCUUAACACAUGCAAGUCGAGGGGCAGCAUAGGGUAGCAAUACUCUGAUGGCGACCGGCAAACGGGUGAGUAACGCGUAUGCAACCUACCCUGUACAGGGGGAUAACCCGGAGAAAUUCGGACUAAUAUCCCGUAAUAAUAUCCGGAGGCAUCUUUGGAUAUUUAAAGUUCCGACGGUACGGGAUGGGCAUGCGUAACAUUAACUGGUUGGUAAGGUAACGGCUUACCAAGGCUAUGAUGUUUAGGGGUCCUGAGAGGGUGGUCCCCCACACUGGUACUGAGACACGGACCAGACUCCUACGGGAGGCAGCAGUGAGGAAUAUUGGUCAAUGAGCGCAAGCCUGAACCAGCCAUCCCGCGUGCAGGAAGACGGCCCUAUGGGUUGUAAACUGCUUUUCCAGGGAGAGAAACUUACGCACGUGUUGCGUGACUGACGGUACCCUGGGAAUAAGCAUCGGCUAACUCCGUG
rnacentral:rRNA from 1 species